rnacentral:rRNA from 1 species
AUUGAACGCUAGCGGGAUGCUUUACACAUGCAAGUCGAACGAGUGGCGGACGGGUGGGUAAUAUAUCGGAACGUGCCCAGCAGCGGGGGAUAACUACUCGAAAAAGUGGCUACUACCGCAAACUAUUUGCGCGGCCGAUAUCGGAUGAGCUAAUUGGUGGGGUAAAGGUUCACCAAGGCAACGAUCCUUAGCUGGUUUGAGAGGACGACCAGCCACACUGGGACUGAGACACGGCCCAGACUCCUACGGGAGGCAGCAGUGGGGAAUUUUGGGCAAUGGGGGAAAGCCUGAUCCAGCCAUCCCGCGUGUAUGAGAAGGCCUUCGGGUUGUAAAGUACUUUUGGCAGAGAAGCGGUAUCUGCAGAAUAAGCACCGGCUAACUACGUGCCAGCAGCCGCGGUAAUUC